rnacentral:lncRNA from 1 species
UACAUUUGUGUGCAUGUAUCAGAAAACCAAAAAAUAACAAUAGCUUAGAUAAGUUGGAAGUUUAUUUCUAACUUGCAUAAAGAGCUCUGAAAGUAGAAAGUUCUGUGGAUGGUAGUUGCACAUAAUCAUAGGAGACUCACGCUCCUGUCUCUCUGCCUCUCUACAUAGCGUUUCUUGGCCCAAGAUGGCUGCUUGGAGCUCCAGCCAUCAAGUCUGUAUUCCAGGCAGCAGGAAGGAAGAAGAGAGGGUGAUGUUGCAGUCAGUGGCGAGCUUCAGUCCCAGGAGCCUGGAUGAAAGUAGACACAGAACGAGAGAUCAAGGAUGCAACAAGGAAGAAACAUCUUCCCUGUUAGUACCCAGUGAACUGAGACUGGGCUAGAAAAUCACAUCUGUUGUAAAAUCAGAAAGGGUCAUACCUGGAGCAGAUGGAAAUUACACUAAAGAAAUAAUGGACAUCACCUGAAGAUCCUGAAUGGAGAGCAGUGGUUCUGUGAAAUCUCCUUUGGGUGCAGUAGCUGGGUGUGGCUUUGCCACUAGGGAGAAGAUGGUUGUGUUACAUAAAGUAAGGUCAUAUUUGGAAUUUCAUGUGUAGCGGAAGAGGGUGUAUAUAUGUUGAGUAGAAAAGAGAAGGAAUGUAUACUUAUUGGGGUAAUAGCCUUGCUAUUUUUUAGAAUAGCCUCCUUGUUUUUUAAUCACACGCUUACAGUGGUGGAACUCUCAGCAGCCAUGUUUUGAAAACAACACAGCCCUUUUGUCACUUUUGAUUGACCCAAACUUGACCAAAAUCCCUUUCUUGGAC